rnacentral:rRNA from 1 species
ACUCAAAGGAAUAGACGGGAGCCCGCACAAGCAGUGGAGUAUGUUGUUUAAUUCGACGCAACGCGAAGAACCUUACCAGGUCUUGACAUCUGCGGAAUCCCGCGUAAUGGCGGGAGUGCCCUUCGGGGAGCCGCAAGACAGGUAGUGCAUGGUUGUCGUCAGCUCGUGUCGUGAGAUGUUGGGUUAAGUCCCGCAACGAGCGCAACCCUUACGAAUAGUUGCUAGUCCGUUAAUCCGGAAAGCACUCUAUUUGGACUGCCGUUGACAAAACGGAGGAAGGUGGGGAUGAUGUCAAAUCAUCAUGCUCUUUAUGAUCUGGGCCACAAACGUACUACAAUGGCGCGAACAAAGGGGAGCGAAGCCGCGAGGCGGAGCAAAUCCCAAAAACGCGUCCCAGUUCAGAUUGCAGGCUGCAACUCGCCUGCAUGAAGUUGGAAUUGCUAGUAAUCGCGGAUCAGCAUGCCGCGGUGAAUACGUUCCCGGGCUUUGCACACACCGCCCGU